ACCUGACAGAACUGUCGGCUGUCAUUUUGUUUAUUUUGUAAAGUGUUCGAUUUUUUUCAUUAAACUUCAAGAUGAGCACUCAACACGCUGCGCCUUGGUCCCCUUUAUAUGACGACCGUUACAAAGUGAGACUUUGAUGAGGCUCUUCCUAUUUCCUCUGAGUCAGAAUCUAUGAAUAGUGUCAAAAUUACACUUCUUCUUUUGCUUGUCACAAACUGGGUGAGGUCUUCUGAGUUUCAGGAACAGCUGUCUCUCAUACUUUCCUUACACUGGUUUUGUUUAUGCCAUAAAACAUUGCCAGAUUUUGGAAAUUCAGCUCUGAAAAGAAAAUAGAGGACUUUGACGAAGUACCGAAGUUAAUUUGAUAAACUGAGACCCUGCGUUGUAAAGAGACAUGGAGGCUGUUUUAGGACUGUUGGUGAUCUCAGCAGGAGUGUCUCAUGGCUUGGAGACUUCCUGUGAUGCUAGACAGAAUGUAUCUCAGUGUUAUGGAGCUCUGGGAGGAACUGUCUAUCUCCAGCUGGUGACUGAUGACAUGGGAUAUGAUGAACUCUCAUUUUAUAAAGACCCAACUGGUGCUAAAACAGAGAUACUCAGAUCGAAGAAGGGCAUAUGGGUAAUAAGAGACAACCGCAUUAAAGACAGAGUAGACUUCUUUAUAAACAAUGGGACAUUUAGGUUAAAUAACACAAGAAGUACAGAUUCUGGUGAAUAUCUGCUAGAAUACUUUAAUUCAGUAGGGAUAUCAUCAUGGACCAGAGGACUACAACUGUUCAUCGAAGCUCCAGUGUCCAGUCCUCAGCUGUCCUCUGAGUGUCUGUCCCAUGGAGAGAUGAAGGUGUCCUGUUCCUCUGAGGGGGAUGGUCCCCAGUACAGCUGGACUCUGGAUGGACAGACACUGAGAGACACUGAGACCUCUCCUGGUGAUGAGACAAACACCAUCACUCUGAAGAAAGGCCUGUCAGGAAAUCUCACCUGUACCAUCAGAAACAACAUCAGCAGUGAUACUGUCAGCAGGAUAAUCUCACACUGUCCAGGGCUGAUAUAUGUUAACUGCACCUUAUCCAACGGGACAAAAGUAUCAGAGUGGGUGAAUGCCACUGGUAAUACCCUGUGUGUUGAGUCUACAACAGUGGCGACUGUGACUGAGUCCCCCAUCAGUAAAACCUCCACUGGUAUGGAGGAGAAAUCCUGUGAUGCUAGAGAGCACAUGUCAUGUCACGGAGCUCUGGGAGAAACUGUCUAUCUUCAGCUGAUGAAUAAUGCCACAGGGUCUGAACUCGUAUUCAAAAAGGACCCCACUGGUGCAAAUAUAAGGAUAUUCAGCAUGAAAAACAACAGAGUGAGAUUCCAUGACCCCAUUAAACCUAGAUCAGAGUUCUUUAUCAACAACGGGACAUUUAGGAUAUCUAACACAGAAAAGACUGAUUCUGGUGAAUAUGUCUUAGAAAUCUAUGAUUCACAUGGAGCACGUUUGAGCACCGGAGGAGUACAACUUAUAAUUGGAGGAUCUGGGUUCAAUGUGUUUGUUUAUUUCCAACUCGCUGAAGUCUUCAUUCUGAUGGCAAUCUGUCUGGGAUCAUACUGUUUCUACAAGAAGAAAACCUGUCCUCAAGAACAAGUAAGCAGAGGAAUAUGAAGACUCUCAGGUGGAUCAUGGUGGGACUCAGAGGAGGGUGUUGAUGUCCUAAGAGUUGCUAUGGGGAUCAACCAGGCUUUGAGAUUACUUUAUGAAAUAAUGACUAACGAUGAUAUAAUACUGCUUAUCACUCUUUUAAUCUUGAAACUCAAAGCACAGUAAUCUAUUUAAACCAAAAAAAUGCCAUUCUAUUCUUUUGACUUUUAUUUUCUUAUUUUAAUUAUGUUCCUUCAGACCUGCCCUUAACAACAUGAAUAGUGAAUGAUCUAUGUGAUGAUGUUUAUUUGAUGAAUUUUAAAUCUUGAAUUGUAGUGAUUUAGUGCUUUUUAUUUUGUUCAUACUGUUAAAUAAACUAAUGAAAAAGUUGUUUUUGAAAAUACAUUUUCUUUCAUAUUCUAAUGCUACCUUCUUAAACACAAACAAAUGAUUAUUUUACCAAUAUCAUACAUGACAUGUAUUUAUUAGACUGUUAGAAUGUUGACAUCUGAAAGACUCAUCAUUGGCUUGAAGGGGGUCCCUCUAGGCUUUUCUAGUGUUAAGUAUAUUUAAAAUGUUAAAGGCGUGCAUAUUACAGUGUAUUGAUUGCAUGGCAGGGUUUCGUUUUUUAUUGCUUGUGAUAUACAGUAACAGAAAUGUAUGAGAGUUGAAAGUCUUUUUAAAUAGGGAACUCUAACAGACUUUCAUUCCUUCUGUAACUUUAUCAAAUCAAAAACUUUAUUUGUCACAUGCGCCAAUGUCACAGGUUCCAACGAGUGGCGCCCCUCGGUCGGGCAGCGGUCGUCGUCGCCGGCCUAUUAGCUGCCACCGAUCGUUGUUUCUGUGUCGUUUAGUUUUGUCUGUCUGUUCCGCACCUGUUUUGUGUAUGUCAUUAGUGGGGACUUAUUUAAUGUGUUUUCAGUUGGGAUUUUGUGCGGGAUUGUUUAUUGUCCACGUUGUGUUAGCGUCAAUUAUACGGGAAGGAUUUACCGGGCUGCGCUCCUUGCCUUUGAAUUAUAUUUUGUGUUUUAUGGGAAGGUGUUUCUCCCAGGCGCACUUUGUAUAGCGCCCUGUGCUUUUCGGCGUUUGUGUGUGUCCGUUUUUAUUAAAAGACACUCACCUCCAGCACCUCUGUCUCCUGCAUUUGAUUCCGCCUAUCCGCCAGUCCAAAUCAGACGUGACAGCCAAAUACAACAAGUGUAGACCUAACCGUGAAAUGCUUACUUUACAAGCCCUUAACCAACAGCGCAGUUCAAGAAGAGUUAAGAAAAUAUUUACCAAAUAAACUCAAGUAAAAAAUUAUAAAAAGUAACACAAUAAAAUAACAAUAACAAAGCUAUAUACAAGAGGUACCGGUACCGAGUCAGUGUGCGGGGGUACAGGUUCGUUGAGGUAAUUUGUACAUGUAGGUAGGGGUGAAGUGACUAUGCAUGAUAAUAAACAGUGAGUAGCAGCAGUGUACAAAACAAAUGGAGGGGGAGGGGGGGGGGGGUCAAUGUAAAUAGUCUGGUGAACAUUUGAUUAAUUGCUCAGCAGUCUUAUGGCUUGGGGGUAGAAGCUGUUAAGGAACCUUUUUGUCCUAGACUUGGCAUUCCGGUACUGCUUGCCGUGCAGUAGUAGAGAAAACAGUCUAUGACUUGAGUGACUGGAGUCUCUGA
rnacentral:lncRNA from 1 species